GAUUACAGGGGCAAGCAAUGACUUUGGUUUGGAUAUUUCUCAGACUUUUGAAAAUUGUUUAAACUUUGAGAAAUUGACUUCAUACCAUUUCUGCCACAAAAACUGUAUGACAAAGUGAAAAGCUGUUAUAGUCACCAUGAAGGUCCUAUCAUUUGAAAACAUCAUGGAAUUCAGGACCGUAUUUGUCACCUGCAAAAGCUUCACAGACUUUUCUUUUUAGGAGAGGACAUAUACAGGCCCUCCGUGGUGCCUGUGGCAAGAUUGGACCAUAUUUGUCCCAUCAUCAAGACUGGACACAGGAUAUUGGCCAAACGUCAAGAGAGAAGCAAAGCCUAUACUGAUGAUGAUGAUGAUUGAGGAAGCUGAUUUCUCCUCUACACUUAAACAUGGAAAGUUAGUCACCCUGAAGCCACUGAGUUUUCAGCAACCUCCAGCAGUAUCUUCCUAUUGGCCACUGUUUUUCCUUCAGCUACACCUGCUUAGAUGUUGCUUCAAUUUCACAUCUACUUAGAGCCACCCUUGGAUCAGAUGUGGUACACGAAUGUCAUGCCCCAUGUUUCUUUGUAUUCUAUUUUAUAUCAUAC
rnacentral:lncRNA from 1 species